rnacentral:rRNA from 1 species
ACGCUCGACACCUAUGGGAGGCAGCAGUGGGGAAUAUUGCACAAUGGGGGAAACCCUGAUGCAGCGACGCCGCGUGGAGGAAGAAGGUCUUCGGAUUGUAAACUCCUGUUGUUGGGGAAAAAAGAGGAUGGUACCCAACAAGGAAGUGACGGCUAACUACGUGCCAACAGCCGCGGUAAUCUGAGCGGGCUGGCAAGGC